GGAGAGGUGCCGGAGUCUGGCUAAACGGGGCGGUCUCGAAAACCGUUGUGGUCUUUCGGCCACCGGGGGUUCGAAUCCCUCCCUCUCCGCCA
rnacentral:tRNA from 1 species